GUGUCAGCAGCCGCGGUAAUACGAGUGGUGCAAGCAUUAUUCGGAAUCAUUGGGCGUAAAGGGUGCGUAGGUGGCAUAUUAAGUCUACUGUUAAAUAUCUCGGCCUAACCGAGAGACUGCGGUGGAGACUGGUAAGCUAGAGGAUGGGAGAGAGAAGUGGAAUUCUCGGAGUAGCGGUAAAAUGCGUAGAUCUCGAGAGGAACACCGAUGGCGAAAGCAGCUUCUUGGACCAAUCCUGACACUGAUGCACGAAAGCGUGGGGAGCAAACAGGAUUAGAAACCCGUGUAGUCC
rnacentral:rRNA from 1 species